CCUCCCUCGCCCCUUUUGGUAAGCGAUUCCCUGCCUUUGAGUGUAGGCGACCUUCAGGGAUCGCUAUUUCCAGCCUGCCUGAGAAUUUAGCCAUGUGACCCCUAAUGCUGGAACGACAGUCGAGCUGUAACUGGGCUGGGGACGCACUUUUGAUACCUAUUCUUUGCUGUCUCAUCCUGCGAUUGAUCAUCUCCUAUUUAGUCUGGAACACAGAAGUUCAUUUAGCAGAGACAGAAGUAGUACGUUGUAUCGAUCCAUGCCCAUGUGGAAGGAUGAUGAAGUGCAGGUUAUGCGAGGACACUACGAAGGUCAGCAAACCUGGCAAAGUAGUCCAGGUUUACAGGAAGAAAUACGUGUCAUCUACAUUGAAAGAGGACAGCGAGCGCAGGCAAAUGGCACAGCUGUCCCUGCGGGCACCCACCCCAGCAAGGUGGUUAUGGCUAGUCUAAAACUGGGCAAAAACCCACGAAGAUCCUUGAACGCAAAGCCAAGUCUCACCACGUCGGAAAAGAAAAGGACAGAUAGGCAAUCAGGAAGAUGCGGGAAUAAAGGAAUCUGAUGCACGACGUUUAAUAAAAACUGUUAAAA